AUUGAACGCUGGCGGCAUGCCUUACACAUGCAAGUCGAACGGCAGCACGGGUGCUUGCACCUGGUGGCGAGUGGCGAACGGGUGAGUAAUACAUCGGAACAUGUCCAGUAGUGGGGGAUAGCCCGGCGAAAGCCGGAUUAAUACCGCAUACGCUCUAUGGAGGAAAGCGGGGAUCGAAAGACCUCGCGCUAUAGGGGUGGCCGAUGGCGGAUUAGCUAGUUGGUGGGGUAAAGGCCCACCAAGGCGACGAUCCGUAGCUGGUCUGAGAGGACGACCAGCCACACUGGGACUGAGACACGGCCCAGACUCCUACGGGAGGCAGCAGUGGGGAAUUUUGGACAAUGGGCGAAAGCCUGAUCCAGCAAUGCCGCGUGUGUGAAGAAGGCCUUCGGGUUGUAAAGCACUUUUGUCCGGAAAGAAAUCCCUGGUCCUAAUAUGGCCGGGGGAUGACG
rnacentral:rRNA from 1 species